rnacentral:lncRNA from 1 species
GAAAACAAAGAAGAAAAGUAAACGUUUAUUUAGCAUUAAAGAAAGGAGAUAUAUUCAAAAAAGAAUUAAAAAUAUUUUUAUUUUACGCUUAAUAAAAUAAUCCAACACAAAUAUAAUGUUUCAUUAUAAUUUAUUUUUUCAUCAAAAGAGAAGAUAAUAUAGAUAAAUUGUGUAGUAGAGAAGGAGUGAGAAAAAAAAGAUAAUAAUAACAAACAAC